rnacentral:rRNA from 1 species
UACGGGGGGGCAAGCGUUGUUCGGAAUUACUGGCGUAAAGGGCUCGUAGGCGGCCAACUAAGUCCGACGUGAAAUCCCCAGGCUUAACCUGGGAACUGCGUCGGAUACUGGAUGCUUGAAUUCGGGAGAGGAUGUGGAAUUCCAGGUGUAGCGGUGAAAUGCGUAGAUAUCUGGAGGAACACCAGUGGCGAAAGCGGCCACCUGGACUGCACCUGACGCUGACACGCGAAGGCUAGGGAGCGAACGG